AUUGAACGCUGGCGGCAUGCCUUACACAUGCAAGUCGAACGGCAGCACGGGAGCAAUCCUGGUGGCGAGUGGCGAACGGGUGAGUAAUGCAUCGGAACGUGCCAUUGAGUGGGGGAUAACGUAGCGAAAGUUACGCUAAUACCGCAUAUUCUGUGCGCAGGAAAGCAGGGGAUCGCAAGACCUUGCGCUCUUUGAGCGGCCGAUGUCAGAUUAGCUAGUUGGUGAGGUAAAGGCUCACCAAGGCGACGAUCUGUAGCUGGUCUGAGAGGAUGGCCAGCCACACUGGAACUGAGACACGGUCCAGACUCCUACGGGAGGCAGCAGUGGGGAAUAUUGGACAAUGGGCGCAAGCCUGAUCCAGCCAUGCCGCGUGUGUGAAGAAGGCCCUCGGGUUGUAAAGCACUUUAAGCGAGGAGGAAGGUCAUCAUACUAAUAUUAUGAUGAAUUGACGUUA
rnacentral:rRNA from 1 species